rnacentral:miRNA from 1 species
CUUAAGCGGUUUGAUCGCUCCCAC